rnacentral:lncRNA from 1 species
UUUUUUAAAAAAUACCCCAAUAUUUUUUAUUUAAUGCGUAAAUACUCUUUUUCAUUCUUCUUUUCAGUCAACUCCCUCUCCCACUUUUUUUUUUCUUUCUCAUCUUUUCCCAAACUUUCUUUUUUUCUUUAUUCUUUUUAGUUUCGCCCCUUAUAUUUCUAUUUUUUUAGUUAUGCCCUUUAUCAAACAGUUAAUUUACAUUGCAUAAAUAAUUCAAAUGAAAAUUAUUUUACAUUGCCAACGUUUCAAAUAACUAUUAAUUUACAUAAUUCAAAAAUUAUAUUUUACAAAAUAUAAUUUUACACUGGCAUCAUUUCAAAAUAAUUUCACAUAACUUACUUCAGUACGUG